rnacentral:rRNA from 1 species
CCUACGGGAGGCAGCAGUUAGGAAUCUUGCGCAAUGGGCGAAAGCCUGACGCAGCGACGCCGCGUGCGGGAUGACGGCCUUCGGGUUGUAAACCGCUUUCAGCAGGGACGAUUAUGACGGUACCUGCAGAAGAAGCCCCGGCCAACUACGUGCCAGCAGCCGCGGUAAUACGUAGGGGGCAAGCGUUGUCCGGAUUUAUUGGGCGUAAAGAGCUCGUAGGCGGUUUGGUAAGUCGGGUGUGAAAUCUCCACGCUCAACGUGGAGGGGCCACUCGAUACUGCCAUGACUCGAGUCCGGUAGAGGAGUGUGGAAUUCCCGGUGUAGCGGUGAAAUGCGCAGAUAUCGGGAGGAACACCCGUAGCGAAGGCGGCACUCUGGGCCGGAACUGACGCUGAGGAGCGAAAGCGUGGGGAGCAAACAGGAUUAGAUACCCUGGUAGUCCACGCCGUAAACGUUGGGCACUAGGUGUGGGGGAGUCUAUCGUACGGUUCCGUCGCGACGACUACGACAUUAAGUGCCCGCCGUCGGGUAGGUACGGCCGCGACGGACGUAAACGUACGAAAGGAAAGUAGACGGCGUGAAGACGUGCCGACGGACGACGACGAGGGAGGAGG